GACGAACGCUGGCGGCGUGCUUAACACAUGCCAGUCGAACGGAAAGGCCCUGCUUUUGUGGGGUGCUCGAUUGGCGAACGGGUGAGUAACACGUGAGUAACCUGCCCUUGACUUUGGGAUAACUUCAGGAAACUGGGGCUAAUACCGGAUAGGAGCUCCUGCUGCAUGGUGGGGGUUGGAAAGUUUCGGCGGUUGGGGAUGGACUCGCGGCUUAUCAGCUUGUUUGUGGGGUAGUGGCUUACCAAGGCUUUGACGGGUAGCCGGCCUGAGAGGGUGACCGGCCACAUUGGGACUGAGAUACGGCCCAGACUCCUACGGGAGGCAGCAGUGGGGAAUAUUGCACAAUGGGCGGACGCCUGAUGCAGCAACGCUGCGUGCGGGAUGACGGCCUUCGGGUUGUAAACCGCUUUCGCCUGUGACGAAGCGUGAGUGACGGUAAUGGGUAAAGAAGCACCGGCUAACUACGUG
rnacentral:rRNA from 1 species